rnacentral:lncRNA from 1 species
GAAAUGUUAAGCCUAGUUUUUCUAGAUGAUGGAAAUUAUAUUUCAAUUUCUCCAUCCGGAUAUUCAAUUAUCUGCUCAGGUUCCCUAUUUUCGAAUCUUGGGCUGGUUCUCAGACUAAAGAGACUAGUUCUUAGGUAAUUUUACUUGCAUCCAUGAUACCGCCUUUGGUAUAACAACAUUAGAUUUAUCCAUAUUUGUUUGAAAGAAAAUAGUUUGUCCCUUCGUAUUCAUCUGCCUAGCAUUUGGGCAUAGAGUGUUCAUGACUUUAUAACAGAUGCUAUAAAUAAAUGCUAAGUUUUGGGAUCCAGGAUCCAUAUCAAAACCUUGAGGUUUUAGAUUUAAAGUUAAAACCUUUAAUAGAUUUGGAUCUGAU